rnacentral:rRNA from 1 species
GGGUUGUGAGGUUAAGCGACUAAGCGUACACGGUGGAUGCCCUGGCAGUCAGAGGCGAUGAAGGACGUGCUAAUCUGCGAUAAGCGUCGGUAAGGUGAUAUGAACCGUUAUAACCGGCGAUUUCCGAAUGGGGAAACCCAGUGUGUUUCGACACACUAUCAUUAACUGAAUCCAUAGGUUAAUGAGGCGAACCGGGGGAACUGAAACAUCUAAGUACCCCGAGGAAAAGAAAUCAACCGAGAUUCCCCCAGUAGCGGCGAGCGAACGGGGAGCAGCCCAGAGCCUGAAUCAGUGUGUGUGUUAGUGGAAGCGUCUGGAAAGGCGCGCGAUACAGGGUGACAGCCCCGUACACAAAAAUGCACAUGCUGUGAGCUCGAUGAGUAGGGCGGGACACGUGGUAUCCUGUCUGAAUAUGGGGGGACCAUCCUCCAAGGCUAAAUACUCCUGACUGACCGAUAGUGAACCAGUACCGUGAGGGAAAGGCGAAAAGAACCCCGGCGAGGGGAGUGAAAAAGAACCUGAAACCGUGUACGUACAAGCAGUGGGAGCACGCUUAGGCGUGUGACUGCGUACCUUUUGUAUAAUGGGUCAGCGACUUAUAUUCUGUAGCAAGGUUAACCGAAUAGGGGAGCCGAAGGGAAACCGAGUCUUAACUGGGCGUUAAGUUGCAGGGUAUAGACCCGAAACCCGGUGAUCUAGCCAUGGGCAGGUUGAAGGUUGGGUAACACUAACUGGAGGACCGAACCGACUAAUGUUGAAAAAUUAGCGGAUGACUUGUGGCUGGGGGUGAAAGGCCAAUCAAACCGGGAGAUAGCUGGUUCUCCCCGAAAGCUAUUUAGGUAGCGCCUCGUGAAUUCAUCUCCGGGGGUAGAGCACUGUUUCGGCAAGGGGGUCAUCCCGACUUACCAACCCGAUGCAAACUGCGAAUACCGGAGAAUGUUAUCACGGGAGACACACGGCGGGUGCUAACGUCCGUCGUGAAGAGGGAAACAACCCAGACCGCCAGCUAAGGUCCCAAAGUCAUGGUUAAGUGGGAAACGAUGUGGGAAGGCCCAGACAGCCAGGAUGUUGGCUUAGAAGCAGCCAUCAUUUAAAGAAAGCGUAAUAGCUCACUGGUCGAGUCGGCCUGCGCGGAAGAUGUAACGGGGCUAAACCAUGCACCGAAGCUGCGGCAGCGACGCUGAUGCGUUGUUGGGUAGGGGAGCGUUCUGUAAGCCUGCGAAGGUGUGCUGUGAGGCAUGCUGGAGGUAUCAGAAGUGCGAAUGCUGACAUAAGUAACGAUAAAGCGGGUGAAAAGCCCGCUCGCCGGAAGACCAAGGGUUCCUGUCCAACGUUAAUCGGGGCAGGGUGAGUCGACCCCUAAGGCGAGGCCGAAAGGCGUAGUCGAUGGGAAACAGGUUAAUAUUCCUGUACUUGGUGUUACUGCGAAGGGGGGACGGAGAAGGCUAUGUUGGCCGGGCGACGGUUGUCCCGGUUUAAGCGUGUAGGCUGGUUUUCCAGGCAAAUCCGGAAAAUCAAGGCUGAGGCGUGAUGACGAGGCACUACGGUGCUGAAGCAACAAAUGCCCUGCUUCCAGGAAAAGCCUCUAAGCAUCAGGUAACAUCAAAUCGUACCCCAAACCGACACAGGUGGUCAGGUAGAGAAUACCAAGGCGCUUGAGAGAACUCGGGUGAAGGAACUAGGCAAAAUGGUGCCGUAACUUCGGGAGAAGGCACGCUGAUAUGUAGGUGAAGUCC